GGCCUUAUAUUCAAUGAAUGAUUUUAAAUUGCAAAUUUAAAGGUAGGUUACUCUUAAGGCUU
rnacentral:tRNA from 1 species